rnacentral:tRNA from 1 species
UUAAUAGCUGGUUUACAGGAACAGUAGAAUUUGACUCUAAAGGAAACGGUGUAAUCCCGUUGCUAUUAA